CGCUCCGUAGCUUAGUUGGGAGAGCGUCGGCCUGGUAAGCUGAAGAUGCUGGUUCGAAUCCAGCCGGAUCGA